rnacentral:rRNA from 1 species
ACGCUCGACACCUACGGGAGGAGCAGUUGGGAAUAUUGGACAAUGGAGGAAACUCUGAUCCAGUGACGCCGCGUGAAGGAAGAAGGUCUUCGGAUUGUAAACUUAUUUUGUCAGGGAAGAAAAAUGACUGUACCUGAAGAAAAGCACCGGCUAACUACGUGUCAGCAGCCGCGGUAAUCUGAGCGGCUGGCAAGGC